rnacentral:rRNA from 1 species
UACGUAGGGUGCGAGCGUUGUCCGGAAUUAUUGGGCGUAAAGAGCUUGUAGGCGGUUUGUCGCGUCUGCUGUGAAAAUCCGGGGCUCAACCCCGGACUUGCAGUGGGUACGGGCAGACUAGAGUGUGGUAGGGGAGACUGGAAUUCCUGGUGUAGCGGUGAAAUGCGCAGAUAUCAGGAGGACACCGAUGGCGAAGGCAGGUCUCUGGGCCGAAUACUGACGCUGAGGCGCGAAAGCUAGGGGAGCAAACGGG